GGGAGAGAUGGAGAAGAGGGGCUGCUGUGGGGCAAAGGAGUGGAACCCUUACACCUUAGAUGGCUCAGGUCUCCCCUGGAGGCAGUACCCUUCCAUGGCAGCUGGUCAUGGUUUGGUAGUCCAACCAUCAGAAUGAGGCCUUGGUAGCCGCCCACACUGUCCCUGUUUUUGACCUUUGCAAGCUAGGCAAUGCAGGCAGAAAUUCAAUAGGUGAGUGUCAUGAAACUGCCUCCACAAGGAAAGUUAUCUUUGCCGCUUUUGUCUCGAAAGUCUUUGACAGGUGACAAAUCUAUCUACACUCUUCCCCAAAGAGUCUCCCUGAAGAUCACGGAAAUCUUGUUUAUUUCCUCAAGAUGCAGUUCUGGAUGUUCUGAACUUGCUUAUUAGAAGAACCUUUCCCUAACCGCACGAAAGCUAAACAGAUUUGAGGAAAUGUAACCCAGCCAGCUGUGGGUUGCUGCUGCUUAUCCAAUAGUAAAUGAAAUAGCUUUCAAAAUACAUCUACAUCUUGAUAUUGGAAACGGCACUUUCUUGGCGAGAAGAGCUGCUCCAGGGAGGCAGUGUGACAGAAAUGUCUCUCCCAAUGUGCUUAUGUCAGCAAUUUGUCAAACUGUGUGCCAGUUCGCAAUAGUAGGCCGCAGCCUAACUAUUAGUAGACCAUAAGAAAUCAUUAAAUGUUCCUGUGAGCCUAAAGCACCUACUCGCAGAGGGGCCUUGCCUGCUGUGCUGCUCUGUGUGAUGAUGGAUGGCUCUGUUCUGUUUCUCUGCCCAUAAAUGUAAUAAAUCAGGAACUGUGUUGCACAGGGUGUGAUUGUGAUGGAGAAACAACGUUCUUGUUUUCAUUUAGCACCUCAGUGUAUAUUGCAGGGAUGGGGAAUUUGUGGCCCACCAAAUGACUCCAGCUUCCAUCAACCCCAGCCAGUGUGGACAAUGGACCACAGUUUCCCUGCUUCUCACAGAAUUCCAUAAGCAAAGGAUUGGGGUCUUUGCCCUGAGGUGCUUACAGUCCAAAUUUUGACUGGAAAAAGGAAGGCAAGAGAAAUAAGGGGGUGGGUAUUAUAAAAUGCAGCUACAUUGGUGUCAGCUGGGGAUGAGGGUUGAGGGCUUCCAUUCAGGAGAAACAUUGGGGAAGGAAAAAUGGCAUAUGUCAGGAGAGAUGUCUCUUUCCACCAGCUCCCUGUGUUCUGAAAUAUUUCUGAAAUGAAUUCUGACAACACCAGAACUGGAAGAAGUAAAAAUGUGAGACAGAGCCUGCCAUUUCAAGACAAAAUAGAAACAAUCCCAACAACUGAGCACAAUAUAUUAGAUAUUGUGGAUCUCUCUGGAUCUUCUACUGCUAGUGUUUGUCUGUAGCAAAAUACUUUAAGUUGUCACUAUGAUUUGAUGAACAACAUAUCCUUAUGGUCAAGCUAUCAAUUCCAAUAAUUGUUUUGUGAAUAUUUGGUGGCUGUUUUCUUCACUUUCCUCCUUUUUUGGGGGGGGGGGUAAGGAGGAAAAAUUCUCUUGCAAUUCCUUGUUGGUCUGUGAAAAAAAAUCAUCUGUAUUUUUCAUCUGCUGGUUUGCAAAACUUGUUGAUUUUUAUUAUUUUUUUUUUGAGGGAAGGAAGGGGAGGGGAAGCCAGCCAAGCUGAAUAUCUUACUAUAUUAUACGGAGUAUAAGCCUGGUGCCCCAGGCUGCCAAAAAUUUUGAGCUGGCACCUUUCUGAAAUAACAAACUGUUAAUAUCAGACGGUUUGCUCUCAAAGUGUCUGCACUCUAGGAGAACCGCAAACUGUUACCAUAUGUAUGCCUAUUGUCACAAAAUCCUGCCAAACAGUGCAAUCAUUGCAAACACACACACACACACACACACACACACACACACCCACACCCACACACACACACCCCUCCCUUCUUAGGCCCUGUGUAGCUGUGCUGCUUGUUUGAAGAAACACUGCUACAGGCUUUGUCCUUUGCAGUUCAAAGACUCAUAAGCCAGAUUCAGAACUUAUUACAUUUAUAUCCCACCUUUUCUCUGAGGGGCUCAAGACAGAAUACGUGAACCUGCCUCUUUUAUCCUCACAAAAACCCCGUGAGCUGGGUCAGGCAGCAAAAUGUUCCAAGGUCACCAAGUGAGGGACAUGGCUGUGUGGGAAUUUGAUCCUGGAUUUCUUCAGCACUAGUGUGAUGCUUUUUAGCAUCUUAAAAAGCAGAGACAACACCUUGCCAACAAAGGUCCGUAUAGUUAAAGCUAUGGUUUUCUCAGUAGUGAUGUAUGGAAGUGAGAGCUGGACCAUAAAGAAGGCUGAUCGCCGAAGAAUUGAUGCUUUUGAGUUAUGGUGCUGGAGGAGACUCUUGAGAGUCCCAUGGACUGCAGGAAGAUCAAACCUAUCCAUUCUGAAGGAAAUCAGCCCUGAGUGCUCACUGGAAGGACAGAUCCUGAAGCUGAGACUCCAAUACUUUGGCCACCUUAUGAGAAGAGAAGACUCCUUGGAAAAGACCCUGAUGUUGGGAAAGAUGGAGGGCACAAGGAGAAGGGGACGACAGAGGACGAGAUGGUUGGAUAGUGUUCUUGAAGCUACCAGCAUGAGUUUGACCAAACUGCGGGAGGCAGUGGAAGACAGGAGUGCCUGGCGUACUCUGGUCCAUGGGGUCAUGAAGAGUCGGACACAACUAAACGACUAAACAACAAAGUGUGAUGCUUUUAAGUGCUGUACUACGCUGGCUACCAUUCUUACAACAGGAUGUUGUGUGCACAGAAACCCUGUAUGAGCAAAAUUUCCUCAUUCAUUGCAAAGGAAGGUGACAGAUUCUUAAGAACACAAUAAGAACCUGUUGGAUCAGGCCUAUGGCUGAUCCUUUUCUCACAGUAGUCAAACAGAUGCCUGUGGGAAGCCCACAAGCAGAAUUUGAGUGCAAGAGCACUCUCCCCACCUGUGGUUUCCAUUCAGAAGAUGCCUGGAACUGUGGAGGCAAAGAACAACCCUCAUGGCUAGUGGCCAUUGAUAGCCCUCUCCUCCAGCAAUCCCUAGCAGACAAUAGGAAACCCUUAAACUGGCCAAGCCUGGUAUAAAUUCUAGGAGUAGGGUGGGCACAUGUUCUUGUGAGGAAAAAUAUGAGGGAAGAUUUAGAUGUAAAAACACUGUUCUGUUGCAUAAACUGUUUGGUGUGCAAAUAAUUAAUAAGGGAGAAAAGGCCUAGGAAUUGUCCACACUUCCUAGAAAGCAUGAGUCUGAGAGGUUUCCCCCUUGUCUAGGCAUGGUUCCGAACAGUUUUGUGUUUGACUGGCAGCUUUCUCCUGGAAAACACACAAUUUACUGCUGAAUCGGGAAAAAUAGCAAUCUGCAGAAAACGCGCUUGCUAUUUGUUUUGAUUCAGUGCUUAAAUGCAGGUUUUCCCGGCCGAAAGCAGCGGGGCAAACAGAAGUGUAGAUGAGCCCAAACUGAUUCAGGAAGGCACAAUGUAUGAGGGUUUUUGAGUUGGCAGUUUGCAAAGAAGCAGCUAGGCCGAAGCAGUUGCUAAACCGUGAGCUGUUAGGUUUUCCGUUAUGGCAGUUGACAACAGAAUGUGGCUUUUAUAAGCAUUGGUGUAAUCCUAAAGCUGUGAUAGGUCCUUUAGUGAGCAUUCCGUUUGAACUCAUUGGUCCUUAGAAAUAGUCCAAUGGGCCACAGGAUUUUCAGGGGGAACUUUGUGAUUGGUUACAGGACUCUGGCUGAAGAGAAUAAAAGGGCAGGCGCAGGCAUUGUCGGGUAACUGCAGGCAGCAGUUCCAUCAGGGCAGGACUUUUGGGAUGAAAUCCAGAGCCCCCCUCAACAGAAUGAGCAGGGUGUCCCUCCCCGAAGCGCAACAGGGCUAGCUUACCACUUUAUAAAAAAAAUAGCUAAAGUAACACACUUUACCCUCCAGAGUACUCCCCCCACAGCUGUGACAUCAUUAGGUCCAGAGUCUAAAAUUUCCUUAUCACUGAAUAUAUGGGGGUCGAAACCAGUCAGCGUUUCCGUUCUGCACACUGAUAGGCUUUCUAAAUGCUACUGGCCGCCGUGGGAUUAUAGCAGCCUCCCUCCAGGCCUGUGGGAUUUACUUGAAAUUAAAACUCAAAAGAAUGCCCCGUGCACCAUAUUUCAAACCUUGUUUCCCCAUUUCAGAAUAAUAGCGGGCAAGAGAUCGAUGGCAGUUUGCUUGAUCAAUAUUACCUCCCACGUUGCCAGCUCUCCCUCUGAGAUUUUUUAAGUGGAAGCAAGUUUGACUACCCUUCUUGUUGAAUUUAACAGGCCAGUGGUGAAACGAAACCGCAAUCAAUGUGCUGCGUGGGAAGGUAUCAAGAGGAUAUGAAUCCUGCUCAAGCAAAGCGAUAUUUGCAGAAUAAUGAAAGGGUUGAGGAUUUCUUAUCAGCUGUCACAGCUUGUUGGGAAAUGCACUUGAGUCAACAGCAAAUCACAAAUAUGAAUUAUUCUUCCUGUUACACACAAACAUAUAAACACACCUUUCAAUGAACUGCAUUAUUACGUUACAGGCAAUUCUCAACUUGGUGUCUUGCCAAGGGAAAUGUUUGAAACUUCUGUACCUGGUCUGUGGAUUAUUACCUGCAAACACCCAAUCCUUCUGGUGCAUGGUGGGGCAGGCUAUGUAACUGGAACGUUAAAGCCUCUCCCAAAGGCAGAUUCUCAACCGCUGCCUAAUAGAUCAAAAACUUAAUGUUCAGUGCAGGCUGCUUUAAAAGGAAGCCUCUGAUCAUCAAAUCAAUAUGAGAACGGGAACAUGCAUGGCAGGGGGAGGGAAGAAUUGGGUACAUGCCACACACACAGGCUUCAAGG
rnacentral:lncRNA from 1 species